CAGUAGCCGCGGGAACACGGAGGGAGCUAGCGUUGUUCGGAAUUACUGGGCGUAAAGCGCGCGUAGGCGGUUACUCAAGUCAGAGGUGAAAGCCCGGGGCUCAACCCCGGAACUGCCUUUGAAACUAGGUGACUAGAAUCUUGGAGAGGUCAGUGGAAUUCCGAGUGUAGAGGUGAAAUUCGUAGAUAUUCGGAAGAACACCAGUGGCGAAGGCGACUGACUGGACAAGUAUUGACGCUGAGGUGCGAAAGCGUGGGGAGCAAACAGGAUUAGAUACCCCUGUAGUCCCUGUCUCUUAUAC
rnacentral:rRNA from 1 species